CGUCUUGCAGGGGGAGGAAAAGGAAGCCCUUGAGCCUCGCUUCCUGUGAGGCCUCCAAGCACAAAGAGGGCCGGGAGCAGGCGCCAUCAGUUUAUAAUGAGAUUGAAAGAAUACAAGGAUGCAUUCACACAGAAUAAACCAGGAAAAUACAUUUCCCAGUUUUGGUUGCAAACGAGUAAAGGAGAUGAAGAAUUAAGAAAUUAACCAUAGCAGCCAGGUGGAAGGUCAUUUAAUAGAAUAAUAGAGUUAAAAGAGACCUUGUGAGCCAUCCAGUCCAACCUCCUGCCAAGAAGCAGGAAAAUCGCAUUCAAAGCACCCCCAACUGAUGGCCAUCCAGCCUCUUCUUAUAAGCAUCCAAAGAAGGAGCCGCCACCACACUCCGGGGCAGAGAGUUCCACCACUGAACCGCUCUCACAGUUAGGAAAUUCUUCUCAAUGUUCAGGCGGAAUCUGUCAUUUGAAGCCAUUGUUUGAAAGACUCAUUUUCAGGAAUAAACAGAAACACACAAAAGUACAAGUACAAAAAACUUGUUACAUAUAUGGUGUACUUUUGUUUCUCAUGAAAAUGUUUUUUAAGAGUGGGGAAGUUUUGGGAUUUCUCCUUGGAUGACAACAGCAGCUGUUUUUUCCAUGCUCUUGACUUAACACAACAAACCAGAGCUUUCAUAGGCUUGGUUUUGUUUUUUUCUAGGUGAUAUUUGGUGUCCACACAGGCAUGAGCUACAACAUGGAAACUAUCCAGCUAUUGGGCAUCCUAGCGAAAGAGAUUUGUUAUCUACAAACAAAUUGUCUGCCUUAGAUGGUGCCUUUUUGAAGCACCUACGUUUUGUAUCAUGACAUUUAUAUAGAAGGCUUUUGAUAGUACUGCAAUACUUUCAAAAAGUGUAUACUUUUGAAGUGUUUCUUUUUCACAGUUCUACAGAAAACCUAUCAGCAGCAGAAAUCCAGAUAAAUAUUCCACCUGGGAGAAGAGCUUUUUAAUGGAGGUCUUGUCAGAACCUGGUUUCCACGGGCUCAGGAAGCAGUUUCCGUGCCCUGAAUGUGGGAAGAUUUUCAACCGCAGCUCACAUCUCGCCCGCCAUAUGCGGCUGCACACUGGAGAGAAACCCUACAAAUGUCCUGAGUGUGGGAAAACCUUCCGACAAAGCACCGACGUCACUACACAUCGUAGAAUCCAUACAGGGGAGAGACCCUAUCACUGUAGCGAAUGCACAAAAACAUUUCGCUACAGGACUGGCCUCGUGAAGCAUUUUAGGUGCCACAAGAGCUGCCAGGGAUGUGGGGGGAAAGCCAGCGGCAGGUCUUUUUCAAAGGUUCAGCGUGUCGUUGAAGAGCCCUGUAUUUGUGUUGAUUGUGGGAAACACGUGGAGGGAAACAACCUUCAUGUACACGUCACCACAGAAGGACCAUAUGAAUGCCCUGACUGCGGGAAAUGCUUCGAUUGCAGCUUUCAACUUAUUCGGCACAGAAGACUGCAAAAUAGAUUUCUUAUUCCCAAUCCCUACAUACUCUGCAGCCCAAACCUUUCGUGUCCUGAUCAUCAUACUUUGGAAGAAACAACGUGUCCAGGAAGCAUCUGUGCAGGUCGUGAAAAGGAGGGGAAUCUGGGUCCUUCAAGAUCGUGCCAGACAUUAUCCAGAAGACUCUGUGGUCUUAAUUCCCAAAGAUCUGGUUGGAAACAGCCAGGAAUGACUGGAGCCGAGGGAAUCAAGCCACCCUUCUCCUACGCACAGAGAACAUACAUAUGCUUCAUAUGUGGGAUGGGUUUCCAGUGUGAGCCUCACCUCAUCUCGCACGAACUGACUCACAUGCAGGAGAAGCCCUUUAAGUGCGGCACCUGUCAGAAGAGCUUCCGGGAGAAGGCAGACCUGCAGAACCACCAGAGGGUUCACUCUGAAGACAAACGCUUCAAAUGCAUUGAAUGUGGCAAAAAUUUUCGCCAACAGGCGAAUUUCAUUAAACACCUGCGGCUUCAUCCCGUCGAGACGCCUGCCAAGCCGAGUCGUGUGUUUCUGGCGGUCCUACCGCAACUCCAGCCGAAUGCCGAAGGGAGCAUUGGUGAUGGAACUGAACCCCCCAAAACACUUAGCUUUGAUUUACCGCAAAUAGAUACUAAUUCUCUUUGGGCCUUGGAAAUGACAGAAGACGGAAAACUAUAUUGGGCAAAAAUUGAUAAAAAAUGAGACCAACGUUUUACAAAGGUGACAAAAGUGGUACAAGUUUUGGAAGAAAGAAGGCUAUUGCAUUUCAGGAAAAAUAGGAAUGAGAUGGAAGAGAUUCCAAGAAAUCAUAGAAAAUGGAGCUCUCCAAACAGGACAUCUUUUGAAGAUGUCUGUCUUUAGCACUUUCCAGAGAUUGGUUUGAAACAUGUGUCCUAGUUUAGAAGCCAUACGGUCAAAGAAAAACACACUUGCUCCACAUGGUUGGGAAAGUUUCAAGCACUGCUCUCACUUCAUUAUGGAUUAUGCAUUCUUGAGAACGCAGUUCAAAGCGUGGAUUGUCAAACAUCUUUAUUCCAAAUGAAAUAAUCCCUCGAAUUUCAGGUCCAACCAUUUCAAUGCCUCCCUCAGAAUGGGCUGUCAAAGAUCACCAGUUCUGAUUUUACCACUGGGUUACCUCCUUCCUGUGUAUUAGUCUUAAUAUAUAUCACACAGAAUACAUAUAUAUAUAUGUAUUCUGUGUGAUAUCCUGAUAUUGGGUGCUUUUGUGAGCCACCCCAAGCCCCUUCAGGGAGAUGGUGGUGGGAUACAAAUAAAGUUUUUUUCUUAUUAUCAGAGCAGCCAUGCUAGAGAGAGGAAUUUGAGCAUAGGAAAAAUGUUUUAUAUUGUUAUUUUGUAUUGCUGAAUCAUAUAUUAAUCCUUUUUUAAAAGUAGAAUUGAACUUCACAUCAUAGGACAUAGCACUAUAAAUGACAUCUGAUUUUUAAAAAUGUUGUCUUUCUUCCCCUCAAGAAAAUUUAAAUCAACUUUCAAAUGUGUCUAAAGUGAUCUCAUUGUAUGCCAAAUUCCAUUUUGAAUAUAUGUACUUCUUGGUGCUAUACUUGUUUCUGUUUAGACCCCGAAAAAAAAAUUUCCGAAUAGGCUACAAUAGAAAUUCAAAAUCUGCAGGGUAUAACAAAUUAUAUUUUAACAUAUGUCUUCACUGUUUUACACACAAAUGUGGAAACAGCUUAAAAUAAUUGAAACUAUCAAUAUAAUUAAAUUUUGCCAUCCAUUUACAGCAUUUAUUCCAAAUUAUAUAGGCCACAGAGCAUCUAUCUUUUUUAAAAAAAAUUGUGGAAUAUCAAAAGAAUCCUGCUCCUGGAAGCUGUUUUAAAUCAACCCUCAAAAAGGCACCAGAUCUUGCUUGAUCUUGGACUAAGCAAGAUCCCCUCAGGUUAGAUGAACCAAUAUGAGAUGUUAUACAUCUCUAUAUUUCAGAGAGCUGGUGUGGUGUAGUAGUUUCAUGGACUGGCCACAUUGUCUGAAUGCUGGAUUACCAUCUCCCAAAGCAGUUACUAUACUUUCAACUCAAGAAUGUAAAACCUAGUGAUUUCCAUCUGGAAAUCAAUGUCCUCACUGUGAAAAAACAUGCAGAUCAAGAAUAGGUCUCUAUAGUCACCUACGGACCCACCAUCAAGGCCUUGCACUUGGAAGGCAGUUAUAUUCAAGCACAAGUGAUAGCCUAUAUGAUGGACUAAGACACUGGGAGAUGAGGGUCUGAGUUCUUGUUCUGCCAUGGAAACCUGGGUGACCUUGAGCAAGUCGCAUUCUCUGAUGGUGAGAGGAAGGCAAGGCAAAUGCCUUCUGAACAAAUUCUGCCAAGAAAAUCCUGUGAUAGUUGCUAUUAGUCAGAAAUGACUUGAAGGGACACAACCAUAACGAACAUAUGAACACCUUUUUAAAAACAUUUUGUUCCAUCAUUCUAAUGGAAAUAUUCCACAAUGCUGUUGUGAUCUGUAGUCGAGUCGAACUUGAUUUCUGAUCAUCCUAUGAAUGCUGAUCUUGCAGACACCGGGCCAUGGAGUCUAUCCACCUUUCAUGCAGUCUUUCAGUUUUCCUAUUGCCUCCUACUUUUGCCAAGCGUAAUUAUCUGUUCUAGUGAGUCAUGUGGUCUUAUGAUAAAUCCAAAGUAUGACAAGCUCCAUUUUAAUAACCUUGGCUUCUAAAAAGAGCUGAGGCCGAAUUUGUUCUUGGACUCAUUAUUUAUGUGUGUGUGUGUGUGUUUACUUUGGCAGUCCAGGGUAUCUGGAGAAUCUGUUUCCCCUUCUCUUGCCCUAUUCAAGGUGUCCCAUGAAACCUGAUUGGAAAGGCUAAUGAAAUUUUAGUCUGGCUUAAGAGUGGAGAUGGUAUGGAGUGGGAAAGAACACAAUGAGGGGAAAAAACAGCCCAUAUGUGCAAACAUUAAAUCUUGUUGAAAUAUGUAAAGGGAAGAUUCUUGCAUCAUAUGGAAGCUGUUGAUAUUUGUUUGUCAAGGAUGAACAGAGAUAGUAAAGACUUUUCCCUUUUCAAAUAUCAUGCAAAUCAAUAAAACAAUGCCGAAAGAC